GACAGAGCAAGACAGGUGGUGCAUGGUUGUCGUCAGCUCGUGUCGUGAGAUGUUGGGUUAAGUCCCGCAACGAGCGCAACCCUUAUCCUUAGUAGCCAGCAUUAGGGAUGGGCACUCUAAGGAGACUGCCAGGGACAACCUGAAGGAAGGCGGGGAUGACGUCAAAUCAUCAUGCCCCUUAUGAUUUGGGCUACACACGUGCUACAAUGGCGUAAACAAAGGGAAGCGAGAGGGUGACCUUAAGCAAAUCUCAAAAAUAACGUCUCAGUUCGGAUUGUAGUCUGCAACUCGACUACAUGAAGCUGGAAUCACUAGUAAUCGCGGAUCAGAAUGCCGCGGUGAAUACGUUCCCGGGUCUUGUACACACCGCCCGUCACACCAUGGGAGUCGGUAACGCCCGAAGUCAGUGACCCAACCGAAAGGAGGGAGCUGCCGAAGGCGGGACGGAUAACUGGGGUGAAGUCGUAACA
rnacentral:rRNA from 1 species